UUCCAGACUCCUACGGGAGGCAGCAGUGAGGAAUAUUGGUCAAUGGGCUUACGCCUGAACCAGCCAAGUCGCGUGAGGGAAGACUGCCCUAUGGGUUGUAAACCUCUUUUGUCAGGGAGCAAUUGGCGCUACGUGUAGCGUUAUCGAGAGUACCUGAAGAAAAAGCAUCGGCUAACUCCGUGCCAGCAGCCGCGGUAAUACGGAGGAUGCGAGCGUUAUCCGGAUUUAUUGGGUUUAAAGGGUGCGUAGGCGGAAUGCCAAGUCAGCGGUAAAAUCGCGGGGCUCAACCCCGUACUGCCGUUGAAACUGCAUCCCUUGAGUGCGCGAGAAGUAUGCGGAAUGCGUGGUGUAGCGGUGAAAUGCAUAGAUAUCACGCAGAACUCCGAUUGCGAAGGCAGCAUACCGGCGCGCAACUGACGCUCAUGCACGAAAGCGUGGGUAUCGAACAGGAUUAGAUACCCGUGUAAU
rnacentral:rRNA from 1 species